UAGGGAAGGCAGCAGUGGGGAAUAUUGCACAAUGGGCGAAAGCCUGAUGCAGCUAUGCCGCGUGUAUGAAGAAGGCCUUAGGGUUGUAAAGUACUUUCAUCGGGGAGGAAAAACAAAACUAAUAAUUUUAUUUCUUGACGUUACCCGAAAAAGAAGCACCGGCUAACUCCGUGCCAGCAGCCGCGGUAAUACGGAGGGUGCUAGCGUUAAUCAGAAUUACUGGGCGUAAAGAGCACGUAGGUGGUUUUUUUAAGUCAGAUGUGAAAUCCCUGGGCUUAACCUGGAACUGCAUUUUGAAACUGAAAUACUAGAGUAUCGUAGAGGGAGGUAGAAUUCUAGGUGUAGCGGUGAAAUGCGUAGAUAUCUGGAGGAAUACCUGUGGCGAAAGCGGCCUCCUAAACGAAUACUGACACUGAGGUGCGAAAGCGUGGGGAGCAAACAGGGAUUAGAUACC
rnacentral:rRNA from 1 species